GCCGACAUAGCUCAGCUGGCAGAGCGCAUCCAUGGUAAGGAUGAGGUCCGCGGUUCGAAUCCGCGUGUCGGCUCCA
rnacentral:tRNA from 1 species